GACGAACGCUGGCGGCGUGCUUAACACAUGCAAGUCGAGCGGAGCGGCGGACGGGUGAGUAAUGCCUAGGAAUCUGCCUGGUAGUGGGGGAUAACGUCCGGAAACGGGCGCUAAUACCGCAUACUAUCAGAUGAGCCUAGGUCGGAGUAGCUAGGUGGUGGGGGAAAGGCCUACCAAGGCGACGAUCCGUAACUGGUCUGAGAGGAUGAGCAGUCACACUGAAAAUGAGACACGGUCAAGACUCCUACGGGAGGCAGCAGUGGGGAAUAUUGGACAAGGGGCGAGAGCCUGAUCCAGCCAUGCCGCGUGUGUGAAGAAGGUCUUCGGAUUGUAAAGCACUUUAAGUUGGGAGGCGUUACCAGCAGAAUAAGCACCGGCUAACUUCGUGCCAGCAGCCGCGGUAAUUC
rnacentral:rRNA from 1 species